UGAGAGCGAACCAUCCUCAGUCAUGAUUCAAUUUUUUUUUUCAUUAGAUGUUUUACUUUUAGUUCUUUAGUUGCAUUACAUCCUUUUUUUUUCCUUUUUUUUUAAAAUUUUUUUUAUCAUAACAUUAUAUCCUUAGUCAUUACUAAAAUUUGAAUUUUUUUUUUUUUUGAUGAAAGGUAAGUUCAUUACCAAGACAACAUAAUUACAAGAGAGAGGCCCAAUUACAAUAUCCACACAACACAAAAGUGGACUUCCAAAGUAAAACAGAAAACCCAAAACUAGGUUAUGGGCCCAACACCGUCGGACCGCCUACCUACCAUCUCAGACAGUCGCCCCCAAAAAAUGCCUAAGAUUAGGCUAAACAUGGUCCCCGAGCUGGAUGAAGAAGAAACACUUACAUCCUCCAAAGAGCACCACCGAAAUCUCCACCACAAAUCGAAAGAAACACGCGGGAAGAACUAGCCUACAAAUACUAAUGCCAACAAAAGCAAAGAGAAGGAAGAAGGUGGUGGUGUGAACACUCGAAUCGAAGCAUUACGCACCUUCCAGGGAGAUCGCAAGAAAUCACGUUGAAGAUUUGUGUGUGCAGACUUGGUUGAUAUCGAUGAAGGAUUGAUUUUAUGAAGAAGAUUAUGGAGUGGGUUGAUCAUGGAGGUAGAGGGAAGGGGAGAUUUGGCCCAGAGGAUAGUGAAAUUAGAGGAAAGCAGGGGUGAUGGAUGAGACUUAUCCAGCCAAAUAGAGGAAAAAACAAGUUGAGGGAGAAAGAAAGGGAAGAAGAAAGAAGAAAAAAGAAACGAAGGACUGCCAUCAGCCUUAGACAGAGCUCUGUCUAAGGUCGACGACUUCGAAAUUGAGGAUGAACAAAUAAACACUCACAAACCAAAACCAGUGAGAAACACUCUCAGGGAGAGAAGGGCUCUCACCAAAUGGGAGAGAACUCAUAUUUGUAUGGAGUUAGUUUGGAUGUAGUUGAUUCAAUAAACUUUCAAAUGUUGACAUAUGUCUCAAAGAUUGAUUAAUUUCCAUAAUUUUGGUGAAUGUUGAUGUUUGGGCCCAAAAUACAAGUUUGGCCUAAAACAAGGAAAUUGGAAGGAAGACCCAACAUCGAUUCUGCCGGGUAGAAGCGUUCCAAUCAAAGACAAUGUUAGCCCAACUGAGUCCUUAUGAAUGAAGGACCGUGGAGAAAUUGCAUUUGAGUUGGGCCUAGUUCUAGAUAGACUAAGACUGUUGAGUAUUGGCAAUCAAUUCUAACUAGGGUUGUUCAAAGAAUCAUAAUUCAUGGAUUAAGAGUUCGUUUGAAUAUGCUUUUAAAAAGAUUGAAAACGUUUUUAGUAAAAUUGAUUUGGGUUACAAAAAGAACUAAAAAAAGCACAAGAUAUGUGCUUCUAGCAAAAAGCAUUUAAAUUUUUUUUUAAAAUCUAGGUGAAUUUUUAUUAAGGUGAGCUUAGAAAUAUUUUCA
rnacentral:lncRNA from 1 species